GGGGUUGUGGCUUAGUGGUGAAGUGCUUGCCUUGCAUGCAUGGGGCCCUGGGUUUGAUCCUCAGCACCACA
rnacentral:tRNA from 1 species